CAAUGGCGUAAACAAAGGGAAGCGAGACGGCGACGUCAAGCAAAUCCCAGAAAUAACGUCCCAGUUCGGAUUGUAGUCUGCAACCCGACUACAUGAAGCUGGAAUCGCUAGUAAUCGCGGAUCAGAAUGCCGCGGUGAAUACGUUCCCGGGUCUUGUACACACCGCCCGUCACACCAUGGGAGUCGGAAAUGCCCGAAGUCAGUGACCCAACCGUAAGGAGGGAGCUGCCGAAGGUGGAGCCGGUAACUGGGGUGAAGUCGUAACAAGGUACC
rnacentral:rRNA from 1 species